UACGAAGGGGGGCGAGCGUUGUUCGGAAUCACUGGGCGUAAAGGGCGCGUAGGCGGCCCUCCUUGUCGCGUGUGAAAGCCCCGGGCUCAACCUGGGAACGGCGCGCGAGACGGGGGGGCUGGAGUUCGGGAGAGGAGCGUGGAAUUCCCAGUGUAGAGGUGAAAUUCGUAGAUAUUGGGAAGAACACCGGUGGCGAAGGCGGCGCUCUGGACCGAGACUGACGCUGAGGCGCGAAAGCGUGGGUAGCAAACAGG
rnacentral:rRNA from 1 species